CUUACAAUCCUCAGCUCAUACUUUACAACUGUUAUAUAUCAAAAUUGGAAUUCCUUGGCCUCAAUUACUUCACUGUGAACACACCCAGCAAUCAGCAUAUUUGAAGUAACCUCUUAUUUAAGAGCAAUUACAUGCUACAAAUUAUGUACAAAGUUCAUUAGUGAUCUGUACCAAAUGCACAAUGACUGUGAUUACUUUGUAAGAUAUGUAUCUUUAUAGUGGAACUCAGAAAUCAUUUUAGUAAAGAUUCAAUGAUAUGUGCAAUCAAUUUCCAUUUGCACAUCCUUUGCUACCCUAGACUUUAUUUAAGUAAGCUCUUCAAACCCCCUACUAGCCUAGACUUUAUGUAACCUCUGCAAACAUCUUGUCUACUUACCUUCCUACUUAAGUAGUCCUAGAACCUAUAGAAUUCCUCCGAUGCAGUGAACCAGUGAGAUUUGGCUUUGUGUUUCAAAUUGAUAAACAAGCAAUAUAUGAAAGGGUAAUAGAAUGGGUAUUUUAUCAAGCACUUGGCUUGGGUUCUUUGUGAUCUUGGCUAAGACAUGGUGAUACUAAACAAAGGCUCAAGAUCAAGAACCCAAUACUUGUGUGUGUUUAGUGUUAAGCUCUGGAGCAGCUCUCUCUGCCUCUUCACUUUUGGCUUGAGCUCAAGAAACCAGAACCUCAAUACAAUUGUGUGAAAAUUAGCUCAACAAAUCCACAUAAAAACCCAAGCUUCUUGUAUUUUGGUUCAGCCCAUCACAUGAAAGCUUCAAGAAAAGCUUGCUCUCACCAAAUGGCAGGGAAGAGCUCUAUUCCUUUAGUCAGUUUUGGUGUUUGGAGUUUCUUUGGAAGAUUUAACUUUGGUGAGUUAGGUCUGUAAGCUUUUAAAGAGAUUUUGUCGGACCGUGAGCUAUGCCAUUCCACCUCAAAACCAAUUGGUGAUGAAAAAAACACACUCAAAUCCACAUAAAAACCCAAGCUUCUUGUAUUUUGGUUCAGCCCAUCACAUGACAGCUUCAAGAAAAGCUUGCUCUC